rnacentral:lncRNA from 1 species
UAAUAUCUUCUGUAAAUUCAACUCAGUUUCACAGCUUGAAAUUUGAUAGUGAACAGGCACCAUCAAGCCUUUCAGAAUAGGAGUGAGACAAAAUAUGUUAGGAAAAUGAGGUCCAGUCCCAUGUAAAUGGUUUUGGACCAAAUAAAGGCCAUGGACCUUGAUUUUUUAUUUUACACAGAGCUCUAGCUACUUAAUAAAAAAGAUGUGGGGUUGUUUAAGGUGUGUGUCGACAACCAAGUAGAGAAAGAAGAAAAGCCAGGAAAAGCAGAGAGAGAAAAAGGAGAAGGGAGAGUUGGUUAAACGGAAGUCGAUCCGUGGUCCGAUUGAGUUGGAACCUUGUCAGGAGGUUUAUGAUUCAGAGUUAUACAUUCUGAACGGUGAAGAUCGGGUUUGAAACUCUCUAGGAACAAAUCCAUGGUGUAUUUGUUGAGUCACUUAUUUGGUGAGAUUUCUCCAAUUGUUUCUCUAGUUGUUGAUUAGCUCUAGUUUUAGCUAGAGAAGAACUUUGUAUAACUAUUAUUUGAUAGUGAAGAUUUUUCUGGUGGCCCGUGGUUUUUCCCUCUACACUGGAGGGUUUUUCACGUAAAUCUUGGUGUGCUUUAUUUUUCUUGCGCAUUUGAUUAUUGAUUGUUGUCUAUUGCUUCUGUAUUGUUGUGAUUAUUGCUUCAGGCGCAACAAGUGGUAUCAGAGCGAGAGUUAUUUUGAGACAUCGAUACAGAAGCAACCCAGGAUAGAAGUAAAUUCUGUUUGAGAUCAUGGAGGGUGAUACAGGUUCCAUGCUAAAAUUGACAGUAUCAAAUUAUUCAAUUUGGAAGCCUAUGAUGGAGGAUUAUCUAUACUGCAAAGAUUUAUAUGAGCCAGUAUUGGGUGAUUCGGCUAAACCAGCAGAUAUGAAAGAUGAAAGCUGAAAAAAGCUAGGUAGAAAGACGCUGGCUACAAUCAGAAAAUGGGUUGAUAUCAGCGUGUUUCAUCAUGUAGCGCAGGAGUCAGAUGCUCACAUUGUUUGGGAAAAAUUGGCAGCAUUGUAUGAGAGAAAAAUAGGUAUGAAUAAAGUUAUGCUUGUUAAAAAAAUUGCAACUUUACAGUACAGGGAUGGACGAUCUGUUACAGAGCACUUGAGUGAUUUUCAAGAUAUAUUUAAUCGGAUGACUACUAUGGAACUUAAGAUGGAUGAUGAAAUGAAGGUAUUAUUUCUUUUGGGUUCAUUGCCAGACAGUUGGAAUACUCUAGUUGUGACUGUUCUUAAUUCAGCUCCAGAUUAUAAGGUGACAUUGGAGAUGGUAAAGGACAGUAUGCUUAAUGAAGAAGCCAGGCGAAAAGAUGUAGACCCUGGGAAUCAAGCUCUGGUCACAGAGAACAGGGGUAGAAACAUCGACAGAGGUCAGGACUCAAAAGGCCGUGGUAAGUCUAAACAUAGAUCCAAGUCUAGAGGUAAAGUGAAGUGUUUCCAUUGUGGUAAGGCGGGUCAUAUAAAACGAAACUGUAAAAUCUUAAAGCAAGAGCAAAAAGAUGAGAAAGGUAAGAGUUCAGAUGAUGGCAAUGUUGCAGCAGUGAAUUCAGAUAGUGAUUCAGUUACUUUGAUUUGUACACAUGGUGAUUGUAAUCAUGUUAGUGAUCCCGGCAUUGAGUGGAUAGUUGACACAAGAGCGGCAUAUCAUUGUGUUCCUAAGAGAGAGUUGUUUACAACUUACAAAGCAGGAGACUUUGGUUGUACCAAGAUGAGAAACAAGAGUGUGUCGCAGAUUGUUGGGAUUGGUGAUAUUGUUGUACAAACUAGUACAGGCUGCAUGUUGACUUUAAGGGAUGUCAGACACAUUCCAGAUAUGAGAAUGAACUUGCUUGCUAUUAAUGUCCUUGAUAAGGAGGGAUAUGAAAGCCGACAAAAGAAUGGACAGUGAAAGCUUCUCAAAAGAUCUAUGGUAGUUACAAGGGGAAAACUAUGCUGCACAAUGUAUAAGACAUGGAUGCAAUUGAACGGUAACCAGGUAAAUACCGUUGAAAAUAAUGCUUCAGCAAACUUGUGGCACAGGAGGCUGGCACACAUGAGUGAAAAAGGGUUACAGGUUUUGGCAAGGCACUCUCUCAUUCCCUUGAUCAAAGGUAUGUCUCUCGAUUCAUGUGAUUAUUGUUUGUUUGGUAAGCAUCAUAGAGUUUCUUUUCGUAAAAGUUCUCAGAGAAAAGAAAAUAGAUUAGAAUUAAUUUAUUCUGACGUAUGUGGUCCCAUUGAGGUUGAGUCAUUAGGUGGUAGCAGAUAUUUUGUUACUUUUAUUGAUGAUGUUUCACGUAAGACUUUGGUGUAUAUGUUGAAAUACAAAAGUCAGGUACUACAGUAUUUUCAAAAAUUUCAUGCCAUGGUUGAAAGGAUGACAGGGUUAUCCUUGAAGUGUAUUCGAACUGAUAAUGGUGGGGAAUACACAUCUAAAAGCUUUGGAGAGUAUUGCUCAAAGCAUGGGAUCAGGCAUGAGAGGACAGAACCUGGAACACCGCAACAUAAUGGUAUAGCUGAAAGAAUGAAUCGCACCAUUGUAGAAAAAGUCAGAUGUAUGUUGAGGAUGGAAAAAUUACCAAAGCCAUUCUGGGGUGAAGCAGUCAACACAGCUUGUUAUUUACUUAACAGGUCACCAUCAGUUCCUUUGGGCUUUGACAUUCCAAAAAGAGUGUGGACAGAAAAAGAUGCUUCAUACUCUCACUUAAAAAUUUUUGGGUGUAAAGCAUUCAUGCAUGUGCCGAAAGAGCAGAGAUCAAAGCUUGACAGUAAAGCUACACAGUGUGUGUUUGUAGGAUAUGGUGAUGAGGAAUUUGGCUACAGGGUAUGGGAUCCAGUAAAGAGAAAGACAGUCAGAAGCAGAGAUGUGGUCUUUCAUGAAAAAGAAACCAUAGCAGACCUUGAGAAAAAUGAGAAGACUACACGCGUUACUGUUAAGUGUGAUAUUUCAACACCGACAGGGAUUUCACAGGAAAGAGCCACAGAUGGUGAAAAUGAGCCAGAAACAGAACUUGGGGAUAUGGAUGAGCCAGCUACAGUUGGUAAUGAGCCAGAUGCUAUUAGUUUUGAGCAGGGGGAGCAAUCCUCUCUACCUGAGAGUGUUGAGCAUGGGGAGCUACCUUCGUCAUCAAGUGAUGUAGAGUCUCAGCCUAGGAGAUCUACUAGAGAGCGCAGGCCAUCUACCAGGUAUCCAAGUUCAGAUUUUAUUUUAGUUACCAGUGAAGGGGAGCCAGAAAGCUUUCAAGAUGUGCAGGCUACUCCGGAUAGAGAGCACUGGUUAAAAGCAAUGAAAGAAGAGAUGGAGUCAUUGCGAAAGAAUGAUACUUAUGAUCUUGUUAAACUUCUAACAGAAAAGAGGCCAUUAAAGAAUAAAUGGGUGUUCAAGUUGAAAAAGAAUGGUGACAAACUAGUGAGGUACAAAGCUCGAUUGGUAGUAAAAGGUUUUUCUCAAAAACCAGGCAUCGAUUUUGAUGAGAUUUUUGCUCCAGUUGUAAAAAUGAGUUCUAUUCAAGUGGUACUGGGAUUGGCAGCUAGUUUGAAUCUUGAGCUUGAGCAACUUGAUGUUAAAACUGCAUUUUUGCAUGGUGAUUUACAGGAGGACAUUUAUAUGAAUCAGCCUGAGGGUUUUGAAGUGAAAGGGAAAGAGCACUUAGUUUGCAAAUUGAAGAAAAGCUUGUAUGGCUUGAAACAAGCUCCGCGACAGUGGUACAAAAAGUUUGAUUCUUUUAUGGUGAGUCAUAGCUAUAAAAAAAUAGCAGCGGAUUCUUGUGUGUAUAUUAAACAAUUCCCUAAUGGUAACUUCAUUAUCCUAUUAUUAUAUGUUGAUGAUAUGUUGAUUGUAGGACAAGAUGCUAGUAUGGUUUACAGGUUGAAAGAACAAUUGUCUAAGUCCUUUGAUAUGAAGGAUUUAGGUCCAGCAAAGCAGAUUCUUGGUAUGGACAUUAUCCGAGAUAGGAGAGCUAGAAAGCUGUGGUUGUCACAGGAAAAGUAUGUUGAAUGAGUGCUUGGUAGAUUCAACAUGCAACAUGCUAAAUCAGUUAGCAGUUCACUUGCCAACCAUUUUCAUCUAAGUAAGAAAUCUUGUCCAGUGUCUAAGGAAGAGCAACUAGCUAUGUCUAGUAUUCUUUAUUCUUCUGCAGUCGGUUCUUUAAUGUAUCUUAUGGUUUGUACAAGGCCUGACAUUGCUCAUGCAGUUGGUGUAGUGAGCAGAUUUCUUUCUAAUCCAGGGAAGGUUCACUGGGAAGCAGUAAAAUGGAUUUUUAGAUAUUUGAGGGGUACCUCAAAAAUGUGUUUGACUUAUGAAGUUUCACAACCAAUUCUAGAAGGGUUUACUGAUGCUGACAUGGCAGGUGAUCUUGAUGGUAGAAAAUCUACUUCAGGGUAUUUGUUCACUUUUGCAGGAGGAGCUGUAUCUUGGCAGUCUAAGUUGCAGAAGUGUGUUGCUUUGUCAACUACAGAAGCUGAGUAUAUUGCAGCAACUGAAGCAUGUAAAGAAAUGCUUUGGAUGAAACGUUUUCUUUUUGAAUUGGGAUUGAAUCAGAAAGAGUAUGUGGUAUUUUGUGAUAGCCAGAGUGCUUUAGAUUUGAGUAAGAAUACCAUGUACCAUGCUAGAACAAAGCACAUUGAUGUUAGAUAUCAUUGGUUACGUUCAGUGAUUGAAGAACAGCAGAUGCUAUUGAAGAAAGUCCAUACUGAUAAAAAUGUGGCAGAUAUGUUGACUAAGAUACUUCCCAGGGAAAAGCUUGAGCUUUGCAGUAACUUGGCCGGAAUGAGUUCCCUGGCCAAGGUAAGUUCCAAAUGAAAUUGCUAUGGUGAUGAAUCUCCUUCUAAUGGGACUGGAGGGGGAGAUUGUUAGGAAAAUGGGGUCCAGUCCCAUGUAAGUGGUUUUGGACCAAAUAAAGGCCAUGGGCCUUGAUCUUUUAUUUUACACAGAGCCCUAGCUACUUAAUAAAAAAGAGGUGGGGUUGUUUAAGGUGUGUGUCGACAACCAAGCAGAGAAAGAAGAAAAGCCAGGAAAAGCAGAGAGAGAAAAAGGAGAAGGGAGAGUUGGUUAAACGGAAGUCGAUCCGUGGUCCGAUUGAGUUGGAACCUUGUCAGGAGGUUUAUGAUUCAGAGUUAUACAUUCUGAACGGUGAAGAUCGGGUUUGAAGCUCUCUAGGAACAAAUCCAGGGUGUAUUUGUUGAGUCACUUAUUUGGUGAGAUUUCUCCAAUUGUUUCUCUAGUUGUUGAUUAGCUCUAGUUUUAGCUAGAGAAGAACUUUGUAUAAUUAUUAUUUGAUAGUGAAGAUUUUUUUGGUGGCCCGUGGUUUUUCCCUCUACACUGGAGGGUUUUUCACGUAAAUCUUGGUGUGCUUUAUUUUUCCUGCGCAUUUGAUUAUUGAUUGUUGUCUAUUACUUCUGUAUUAUUGUGAUUAUUGCUUCAAGCGUAACAAAAUAGUCCUAAGUGAGGUCAUUUUGUAUUCUUCGGGGCAUUUUGCCAACAAAAGAUGCUCUUAGAAGUAAGUGUAUUCGGGUUGGUGAUCUUUGCGUAUGCGGCAGUACAUAUUAGAGAUAUACAUGAGUAUGUCCUUUUAAGUUCGGCAACCAAGAUUCCGCACAUGCUGAAGUUCAAGUCAUUCUGUUUGGUUUGAAGCUAUCUCAUGAUUACGGUUCCAUUCGUUCAUUGUUUAAAGCGAUUCUUCCUUGGCAAUUUCUGAAAUUAGCGUAGCUGAAGUUUCCUCCUGGGAUGUGGCAAGUUUGAUUUCAGAUAUUCUUGAUUUAGCUUUCUUAUGCAUUGCCUGUUCUUCUGCCAGACUCAAGAUUGUUUGGACCUAGUAAGGAGUUGUUAUCAGAAGAGAACCCUCCAAAAUACAGGAAACCACUGUCAAAGACUAUAUUACCUACUUCAACGCAAAAUGCCCUUGUGGUACUUCCGCUUGCCACAUUUCAGGCUCUGAACUUAGCCACGGAGAUUAAAACAGCAGAAGCAUGACAAAUAGUUUCAGAAAUAAUAAAAAUUCAUCAGAUCUUUCCAAAAUCUUUUCGAUCCUGAUGAAUUUAUAACAACAGGAUGAUAUAGGUAACAUAAUUUGGAUUUUUUUUGAAUAUUUUUUGUUAUGAUUACUUUGAUUCUUGACCAAUUAUAAGGAAGUGAUAUUUAUGUAUAGAACUUAUGAAACUUAUUAAGCAUUGCUCAACAAAUAUUUGCUCUUUCUAGUCUUCUUUUGGUGUUCUAGCUAUGAUUCCUCGUUAAUUUAACUUUACAUAUAUUGUAUGAAAUGAAAAUCUUUAAGUUAAAUACUAUUAAUUUCCUAAUAACACCAACUCUAUUACACUGAAAAUUAUAUUUUACGAAAUCAAAUAAAUUUAAAAAAAAAAAAAAGAAGGUUGAAGAAACUUUAUUGCAACGGAUGGGGUUUUAGCUUUGCAUUUUUCCCUGAACAUACAUUAUGUCUGUGUUUUUUGUUUUUAUUUUGCUAAUAUGGCUGAAAUGAGCAAAUUAGAAAAAGAAAGGUUCGAAAGGGGGCAGGUGGCGUGAAAGUCAUAUCAAUGUUUCGUAUCUCUCUUCCAGUUGGAUGAAGUACAUCUAUAUUUCUUUAUUUGGAUGAAACACAAAAUACUUUUUUUUUACCAAAUCUAUAUUUUUUUUAAAAAAAAAUUUAACGUUUUUGUCAUCCUGCCAAUGCAAAAGGAAAUCGUUAUGUUUGUGGUGUGGUUGUUGGCUUUAUUUUAAUGAUUUUAGUUAUCUCUAGACGUUUUAAAAUAUAUAAAAAAAAUUGUUAUAUUUUUUAAUUAAUUAUGAUCAGUUAUUUAUUAAAAUUUAUUAAAAUUUAUUAAAAAAUAAUUUUUGAAUCUACAAAAAUAAUUUGGAUUUAGAGUGUAAUUACACAUGAAAAAAAAUAACCCUUCACAACGUCUACUUUAAAAAUGAUAUCAAUUAAUUAUGUGUUAUCAUUUAAUAUUGAUAAAAAUAAUUUUAAUUUUGAUAUUUAAAAUUAUUUUUCUUGACUUCCUUUAUUUAUCACAAUUCUGUC